rnacentral:SRP_RNA from 1 species
GCCAGGCAUGACGGCGUGCCUAUAGUCCCAGCUACUCAGAGGCUGAAGCGGGAAGAUUGCUUGUGCCUAGCAUUUCUGGGCUGUAUGCAGUACAUUGUGCUGAUCAGGUGUUUGUAUUAAGUUCUACCUCAGUAUGAUGACUUCCAUGUUGUUAAGGAGGGGUGAACCAGCCCAGGUUGGAAGUGGAGCUUGUCAAAACUCCUAAGCUGAUCAGUAGUGGAAUCAUAUCUGUGAAUAGCCAUUGCACUCCAGCCUGUGCAACAUAGCAAGACUCUGUCUCU